rnacentral:rRNA from 1 species
UACGUAGGGCGCAAGCGUUGUCCGGAAUUAUUGGGCGUAAAGAGCUCGUAGGCGGCUUGUCACGUCGGGUGUGAAAGCCCGGGGCUUAACCCCGGGUCUGCAUUCGAUACGGGCAGGCUAGAGUGUGGUAGGGGAGAUCGGAAUUCCUGGUGUAGCGGUGAAAUGCGCAGAUAUCAGGAGGAACACCGGUGGCGAAGGCGGAUCUCUGGGCCAUUACUGACGCUGAGGAGCGAAAGCGUGGGGAGCGAACAAG